rnacentral:rRNA from 1 species
AGUGAACGCUGGCGGUAGGCCUAACACAUGCAAGUCGAACGGCAGCACAGUAAGAGCUUGCUCUUACGGGUGGCGAGUGGCGGACGGGUGAGGAAUACAUCGGAAUCUACUUUUUCGUGGGGGAUAACGUAGGGAAACUUACGCUAAUACCGCAUACGACCUACGGGUGAAAGCAGGGGAUCUUCGGACCUUGCGCGAUUGAAUGAGCCGAUGUCGGAUUAGCUAGUUGGCGGGGUAAGGCCCACCAAGGCGACGAUCCGUAGCUGGUCUGAGAGGAUGAUCAGCCACACUGGAACUGAGACACGGUCCAGACUCCUACGGGAGGCAGCAGUGGGGAAUAUUGGACAAUGGGCGCAAGUCUGAUCCAGCCAUACCGCGUGGGUGAAGAAGGCCUUCGGGUUGUAAAGCCCUUUUGUUGGGAAAGAAAAGCAGCAGGUUAAUACCCCGCUGUUCUGACGGUACCCAAAGAAUAAGCACCGGCUAACUUCGUG